rnacentral:rRNA from 1 species
AUUGAACGCUGGCGGCAGGCCUAACACAUGCAAGUCGAACGAGUGGCGGACGGGUGAGUAAUGUCUGGGAAACUGCCCGAUGGAGGGGGAUAACUACUGGAAACGGUAGCUAAUACCGCAUACCAUCGGAUGUGCCCAGAUGGGAUUAGCUAGUAGGUGGGGUAACGGCUCACCUAGGCGACGAUCCCUAGCUGGUCUGAGAGGAUGACCAGCUACAAUGAAACUGGAGCACGGUCCAGACUCCUACGGUGGGCAGCAGUGGGGAAUAUUGCACAAUGGGCUCAAGCCUGAUGCAGCCAUGCCGCGUGUAUGAAGAAGGCCUUCGGGUUGUAAAGUACUUACAGCGGGGAGGCGUUACCCGCAGAAGAAGCACCGGCUAACUCCGUGCCAGCAGCCGCGGUAAUAC